rnacentral:rRNA from 1 species
GAUGAACGCUAGCUACAGGCUUAACACAUGCGAGUCGAGGGGAAACGACAUCGAAAGCUUGCUUUUGAUGGGCGCCGACCGGCGCACGGGUGAGUAACGCGUAUCCAACCUGCCCAUCACUUGGGAAUAACAUUGCGAAAGUAAGACUAAUACCCAAUGACAUCCCACGAAGACAUCUGAAUGGGAUUAAAGAUUUAUCGGUGAUGGAUGGGGAUGCGUCUGAUUAGCUUGUUGGCGGGGUAACGGCCCACCAAGGCAACGAUCAGUAGGGGUUCUGAGAGUAAGGGCCCCGACAUUGGAACUGGGCCACGGGCCAAACUCCUACGGGAGGCAGCAGUGAGGAAUAUUGGUCAAUGGGCGAGAGCCUGAACCAGCCAAGUAGCGUGCAGGAUGACGGCCCUAGGGGUUGUAAACUGCUUUUAUAAGGGAAUAAAGGGGGUCUCGUGAGACUUUUUGCAUGUACCUGAUGAAUAAGGACCGGCUAAUUCCGUG